ACGACUCUCGGCAACGGAUAUCUCGGCUCUCGCAUCGAUGAAGAACGUAGCGAAAUGCGAUACCUGGAGUGAAUUGCAGAAUCCCGCGAACCAUCGAGUCUUUGAACGCAAGUUGCGCCCGAGGCCACUCGGCCGAGGGCACGCCUGCCUGGGCGUCACGC
rnacentral:rRNA from 2 species